rnacentral:lncRNA from 1 species
CUGAGUUCAUCCAGAACUCAGCUUCAACGGCAAACCAUCUCCUCCUUCCCUUCAACACUUUCUAACAUGCAUCCUUCACGUAUUCAACACACAUAUACUCAAGUAUAUGUUCACAGGGGUCCAAAACUAGCUAAUAACCCCAAACAACAAAACAAACAUAACACAGCAACAUGUACAUAAAUUAUCAAAAACUACCAUGAAUAACCUAAGCAUGCUUCUCCUUCCUUUCACUCUUCACUCUUCAAAAACCAUAUAAACAGGGUCUAAAACUGCCCUUACCUCUGGAAACAGGAAGAUACACACACUGAACAAAGGAAAAACAGAUCAACCUCUCUUCAACCUCUCAAAAUCUCAAAAGCGUAACUUUUGUUUCUCU